AACCCCAUUGACCGGAAGGAAUUCCUUCCAAUUGAUGAGGUGGAACAGCCUCAUUGACCGGAAGGAAUCCCUUUUGGUCAAUGAGGCU
rnacentral:miRNA from 1 species